rnacentral:rRNA from 1 species
UUGAACGCUGGCGGUAUGCUUAACACAUGCAAGUCGAACGGAAACGAUACUAGCUUGCUAGUAGGCGUCGAGUGGCGGACGGGUGAGUAACGCGUAGGAAUCUGCCUGAUAGUGGGGGAUAGCCCGAAGAAAUUCGGAUUAAUACCGCAUAAUCUAUUCGUAGUAAAGUGGGGGACUUUCGAGCCUCACGCUAUCAGAUGAGCCUGCGUAAGAUUAGCUUGUUGGUAGGGUAAAAGCCUACCAAGGCGACGAUCUUUAGCUGGUCUGAGAGGAUGAUCAGCCACAUCGGGACUGAGACACGGCCCGAACUCCUACGGGAGGCAGCAGUGGGGAAUAUUGGACAAUGGGGGCAACCCUGAUCCAGCAAUACCGCGUGUGUGAAGAAGGCCUGAGGGUUGUAAAGCACUUUCAAUUGUGAAGAAAAGUUAGCGGUUAAUAACCGUUAGCCUUGACGUUAACUUUAGAAGAAGCACCGGCUAACUCCGUGCCAGCAGCCGCGGUAAUACGGAGGGUGCAAGCGUUAAUCGGAAUUACUGGGCGUAAAGCGUGCGUAGGCGGUUUAUUAAGUCAGAUGUGAAAGCCCCGGGCUUAACCUGGGAACUGCAUUUGAAACUGGUCAACUAGAGUAUGGUAGAGGAAAGUGGAAUUUCUGGUGUAGCGGUGAAAUGCGUAGAUAUCAGAAGGAACAUCAAUGGCGAAGGCAGCUUUCUGGACCAAUACUGACGCUGAGGUACGAAAGCGUGGGUAGCAAACAGGAUUAGAUACCCUGGUAGUCCACGCCGUAAACGAUGAUAACUAGCCGUUGGGGGGAUUUACCCUUUAGUGGCGAAGCUAACGCGUUAAGUUAUCCGCCUGGGGAGUACGGCCGCAAGGUUAAAACUCAAAGGAAUUGACGGGGACCCGCACAAGCGGUGGAGCAUGUGGUUUAAUUCGAUGCAACGCGAAGAACCUUACCUGGUCUUGACAUCCUGCGAACUUUCUAGAAAUAGAUUGGUGCCUUCGGGAACGCAGUGACAGGUGCUGCAUGGCUGUCGUCAGCUCGUGUCGUGAGAUGUUGGGUUAAGUCCCGUAACGAGCGCAACCCCUAUCCUUAUUUGCCAGCACAUCAUGGUGGGAACUAUAAGGAGACCGCCGGUGAUAAACCGGAGGAAGGCGGGGACGACGUCAAGUCAUCAUGGCCCUUACGACCAGGGCUACACACGUGCUACAAUGGGAAGGACAAAGAGCCGCGAAGCCGCGAGGUGUAGCUAAUCUCAUAAACCUUUUCGUAGUCCGGAUUGGAGUCUGCAACUCGACUCCAUGAAGUCGGAAUCGCUAGUAAUCGUAGAUCAGAAUGCUACGGUGAAUACGUUCCCGGGUCUUGUACACACCGCC